GAGCCACCAAGGAAGCUCAGAAAGUAAAGCAUGAAAGAACUUUGGUGAGCUUUAGGGUCAGAGUUUGGUUCAAAUCCUGGAUCUAUCACUAUAUUCCCUGGCAGAACCCAGCACUCAGUGAUGGAAGGACCUCUGGGUUAAAUCCCAGGAUAGGGAGAGGAGAGGAGCUGGAGACAACCUACCUUGGUUUGAGACCUGUUUCUGCCACCUCCUGGCUGUGUCCACUUGGAAUUUAUCACUAGUAGACCUCUGCUACAAAAGAUGUUAAAAAAAUAUUCAGGAUAAGUAAUACGAUACCGGACAGAAACUUGAAGAAAUGAAUACAGUAAAAAUGAAGGUCUUCCAACUGUAAGUGACUCUCUGAGGACAUGAUCGGCUGAAGGAACUUCUUGGUGCACGGGGAUGAACUGGAAGAAGAAGUCAGGGGAGGGACCAACUGAACGAGGCUGGACAGUAUGGGAGCUGUUAAUGAUGUCUGUGCUUAAAAAUAAUGAUUAUUCCAUAAAGUCAAAAAAACUAAAGUUGAAAAACUUUCUUUGCCCUCUACCUUAAAAUGAAGAAACAGAUGGCCAGCUGUAGCUGUAUAUUUCUUGUUGUUGCAAGUAAAUGCAGCCACAGGAGCUUAUUUUAUGCUAAAAGCCUCCAUCUGCUAGAUGUAAUCUUUUCGUACCUGUGGAAAAAAUGAAUAAAAUAAGAAGGACCCACUCGCUUCUGACCUUGACUCUCUGCAGAUUAUGCACCUAAGAUAGUUUCUUUUGUUCCUUGACAGGUCUUAAUUCCAAAAUGAUAGUGCUGUAGUAUUUUGACAGUUUCAUCCUUUUACCUAAAUGGGGAUGAAUUUGGCUUCCUAAUAUUCCUGGUUGGCAUAUGUUUUGCUGCAACAGAGGGAGAGGAUUUUCCUUUAAUGAGCAAUACCCUGUGUCCCUUCACAGCGUCUUUUCUUGUUGUAAAAAUGCUCAAGCAUCCUUUGCCUCUCUAGUCUAUUUGCUACACGGAAUUGAGAAAUCAUUAUAAAUAAAAGAGGUAUUAAAACAUC
ensembl:lncRNA